AGAGGAAGUAAAAGUCGUAACAAGGUUUCCGUAGGUGAACCUGCGGAAGGAUCAUUAAUGAUUGCGAAUGGUUGCCUUCGGUGCUGGCUCUUGCAAGUGCACGUUGGUGGCUUUCAUCCAAUACCCUUUGUGAACCUUUGGCCUCUUGCUAGCUUCGGCUGGCAGAGGAUUUUUACACACACUCGAAUGUAAUGAAAACUAUUGUCGUGCGCAAGCACUAAUGUACAACUUUCAACAACGGAUCUCUUGGCUCUCGCAUCGAUGAAGAACGCAGCGAAAUGCGAUAAGUAAUGUGAAUUGCAGAAUUCAGUGAAUCAUCGAAUCUUUGAACGCACCUUGCACCCUUUGGCAUUCCGAAGGGUAUGCUCGUUUGAGUGUCAUUGUACUCUCACACUYUCCGAUCCUAUGGAUUCGGGGAGCGGUGGACUUGGGUGUUGCUGCUUUCCUUGUGGCUCACCUCAAAUGCGUCAGUGCACCUCUUGGUUGGACAUAGUACGGCGUGAUAAGUGUCUUCGCCGGCACCUCGCAAGAGGGUGGCCGAUCGGGAGCUCUGUGCUUUCAAACCGUCUUCGGACAAUUUCUGACAACUUGACCUCAAAUCGAGUAGGACUACCCGCUGAACUUAAGCAUAUCAAUA
rnacentral:rRNA from 1 species